GUUAUUGUAAUCAUUUUACCAUAAUAUGAAUAAAACGUAUUGUUGACAAAGCAACACUAUCAACUGAACUCGGCUCAGAAUCUUUAUUCUGUUAGCUAUGGUUUAUCGUUGCUCACGGGUAUAAAUUAAAUUUCCGUCAGCCUCCUACAUUCCCAAAUGCCCAACUACAACCGUGGCUGCGUCUACGUUCGAAGUAUGUCGGUCUCUUUUUUUUUUUUUUUUCUAGUUUUUUCCUUCAUGUCUCGUAAAUUUAGUUAUU